rnacentral:rRNA from 1 species
GGGCCAGGGCGCGGGGUCGACCCGCGUCCGAAGCAAACGCAUUAAGCCCCCCGCCUGGGUACUACGUUCGCAAGAAUAAAACUUAAAGGAAUUGGCGGGUGCCCGCACAAGCAGUGGAGCAUGCGGUUCAAUUCGUGGCUACACGUAGAACCUUACCAGGGUUUGACAUGCCGGCAAAGGCCCCGGAGACGGGGAGAUAGCUAUGCCGGACAAAGGUGGUGCAUGGCUGUCGUCAGCUCGUGUCGUGAGAUGUUAGGUCAAGUCCUCCAACGAGCGCGACCCCCGCCGCCAGUUGCCAUCAUCGAGUUGGGCACUCUGGCGGGACCGCCGGCGACAAGCCGGAGGAAGGCGGGGAUGACGUCAAGUCAUCAUGCCCCUUAUGCCCUGGGCCACACGCGUGCUACAAUGGCCGGCACAGUGGGAAGCGACGCCGCGAGGCGGAGCGGAUCCCAAAAGCCGGUCCCAGUACGGACCGGGGGCUGCAACCCGCCCCCGCGAAGCUGGAAUUGCUAGUAAUCGCGGAUCAGCCAAGCCGCGGUGAAUGCGUUCUCGGGCAUUGCACACACUGCCCGUCACACCAUGAAAGCCUGCAACGCUCUAAGUCGCCAGCCCGACCCGCGAGGGGGGGCGGCGCCCAAGGCGGGGCCGGUGAUUGGGGUUAAGUCGAAACAAGGUAUCCCUACGAGAACGUGGGGAUG